rnacentral:rRNA from 1 species
UACGGGGGGGGCAAGCGUUGUUCGGAAUUACUGGGCGUAAAGGGCUCGUAGGCGGCCAACUAAGUCAGACGUGAAAUCCCUCGGCUUAACCGGGGAACUGCGUCUGAUACUGGUUGGCUUGAAUCCGGGAGAGGGAUGUGGAAUUCCAGGUGUAGCGGUGAAAUGCGUAGAUAUCUGGAGGAACACCGGUGGCGAAGGCGGCAUCCUGGACCGGUAUUGACGCUGAGGAGCGAAAGCCAGGGAGCAAAGCGGG